CCCCACUCAACAGACAAGCAGGACGGCCAAUACAGAGACAGGCACAUUCUCACACACAGAUGAAGAACUGUACACAUAGUAUUAACAUGCAUUCAAAGGUAGACACUCAUACAUGCACACACAUACACACACACUGUACAGCCCCUACAUGACAGCCACAGCAGGUACAGUGGAUGCUUCAGUGCAUGCGUUCAUGAAGUCAGAGCGGACACCUACGAAGAUGGCAUCUCAGGUAAGCAGCACUGGGCUGUAUUGACGUAUCCUAAAAAUUACUUCUGCUGCUUUAGAUUGAACGGUCAUAUCUCAGUUAUUGUUUCAUAUUUAUAAAAAAAAUAUGCAGUUUUCUUUACAUUCAGAGUGCGAGCUGACCAAGGGGUCGAAAAUGUAGAUAUUGCCAGAUGUUCACUGUUCGAGGAACAGGCCGUGGAAGCUGUAUUGCUGGCAAACGUGUCCAUAACCAGAGGUUAUAUCAGCUGUUUUGGUGAACCCCUCCCGCAUCUGAACUGGCUGACACAGAGGACACAGCAUGAUCAUAGGUAUGUUUUGAUGUGAGAGAGGAAGCCAGUCCCGUCUUCGCCACCUCACCCGCUCUUAAGAUAAUCUUCGGGCCAACUGGGGCUCCAAGACUGGUUAGGAGACACCACAAUUGUGAUGAACUGAGAGAAUAUUAGGGUAGCACUGUAAUUCAUUGAUCAUAUGCUGUGUGUCGCUGUUCUUACUCUUUCCCUUUCUGACUUCUACACCUCUCUACCCAUCUUGUCUUUCUUGCUCGUUUUAUAAUGCACACCAUAUGUGCAUUUAACUUGUUAUGGAUAGGGGGCAGUAUUUUCACGGCCGGAUAAAAAACGUACCCGAUUUAAUCUGAUUAUUACUCCUGCC
rnacentral:lncRNA from 1 species